rnacentral:misc_RNA from 1 species
GGUGAUAUUGAUUCUCACUAAACAUUGCAAUGCUGCAAGGCCCAGAUGCAGAAACCCAAGUAUGAUGACCAUUUUCAUAUAUAGAUCUAGGAAGUUCAAAAUUGCUAUUAACUUGAUGGACAGAACAGAUUCCUUGGGAGUUCAUCUGCAUCUCAGGCUUCAUUUUCUUAACUUCAGGCAAAUUUAAACUACUAAAUGGAGGGUAUGAGAACUGUUCAUCAAGUUGUACACUUAAACAUGUAUUACUACUUAAAUUGCUAAAAACAGCACUGCCCUGCCCGAUGUUAUCAACUGGUCUCGGAUUUCCAAUUUCAGUAUGUUUGCCAGUAUCAUAGUAAACAGAAUAGCCUGGAAGGGAUGCAUCAGUUGAGCAUUCUUUAUCUCUUUGAGGCAAAAAGUUCUGCUCAUUGGAUAAUAUCAGAUGCUGAUUGCCAUUGUUUGGAAGCCAUGAUAGUGGUUGGGCCUCUUGCAUGCCAUUUAUCAUCAAAGGUAAAUCCAUUCCAUUCUGAAACUGGCUACUGCAUUCUAGUCGCACAAGUUGGCAACUCCCAAAAUUUUCCUUUUGCAGACGGAUUUGGUUAAUAGACUCUUUUAGCGAUUCUUCCAUCUGACUAAGAUGUUCUAUGCUAUCAACCUUAUCAGGGUUACUCCAAUAGCUC